rnacentral:rRNA from 1 species
GAUGAACGCUAGCUACAGGCUUAACACAUGCAAGUCGCGGGGCAGCAUGGGGGUUGCUUGCAACCCCUGAUGGCGACCGGCGCACGGGUGAGUAACGCGUAUCCAACCUGCCCUUCACCACGGGAUAACCCGGCGAAAGUCGGACUAAUACCGUAUGUUGUCCAUUGACGGCAUCCGAUUUGGACGAAAGGCUUGGCGGUGGAAGGAUGGGGAUGCGUCCGAUUAGCUUGACGGCGGGGUAACGGCCCACCGUGGCUACGAUCGGUAGGGGUUCUGAGAGGAAGGUCCCCCACACUGGAACUGAGACACGGUCCAGACUCCUACGGGAGGCAGCAGUGAGGAAUAUUGGUCAAUGGGCGUAAGCCUGAACCAGCCAAGUAGCGUGCAGGAUGACGGCCCUAUGGGUUGUAAACUGCUUUUAUGCGGGGAUAAAGUGGCCCACGGGUGGGCUUUUGCAGGUACCGCAUGAAUAAGGACCGGCUAAUUCCGUG